UACGUAGGGCGCAAGCGUUGUCCGGAAUUAUUGGGCGUAAAGAGCUCGUAGGCGGCUUGUCACGUCGGGUGUGAAAGCCCGGGGCUUAACCCCGGGUCUGCAUUCGAUACGGGCUAGCUAGAGUGUGGUAGGGGAGAUCGGAAUUCCUGGUGUAGCGGUGAAAUGCGCAGAUAUCAGGAGGAACACCGGUGGCGAAGGCGGAUCUCUGGGCCGAUAUUGACGCUGAGGAGCGAAAGCGUGGGGAGCAAACAGG
rnacentral:rRNA from 1 species